AUGCCUUACUCCAGCAGCCUCGCACGAAUCCAACAGAGCAGUCUUUCAGGGAUUUUUGUCUUGCUGCUGACUCAAUGUGGACUCAGCUCAGGUAAGGGGGUGCCGACUACACAAUCAAACACUUUGAGUUAUGCUUACAGCUCUUACAUUUAGUUAUGUUUGCCAGAAUUAUCUGGCGUGACCACAGAGCUCGGCCUUGGUAAAGAUGUGGACGUGUGUCCAGAAGGAAAAUACUUCUCCCAUCAGUUUUGUUUAGAGUGUCCUUCCGGUCAUUAGUAAGUUGUCUUUUGUUAUCUAUUAAGCGCAAACAUGAGCGUUUGUACCAAAAAAAAUGAAUUAAUUUUACUAAUUUUGUGUGUUAUUAUCUCCAGUGCGCCUUAAAUAUUGCAUUUUUGUUCAUAGUUGUCCUGGCAAAGCAUCUGCACCUCGCAGAUGUCCACCAGGAACAUUCAACUUACACACAGGGAAAAGCACCCUUGGUGACUGUAAGGUAACGGCACUGUUUACCACUAGAGUUUGCAAAACCAUGUCUCUAAUUAGGAGGCACUCUUAAUUGUGUGUGAUGCUGAACAGUCAAUUGUUGUUGCAGUGAGUGGUCUGUAUGUUCUAGCCUUGUUUUCCAGGUCUGAUCAGUUCAGAAGACAAAGUGGACUGCAGGCUGUGCCCAGCAGGAUUCCAGUGUGAUCCAGCCACUGGGACGCUGUCUGUGUGCCCAUCGGGACAAUAUUCUCCAGAGGGAGUCCUGAAGUGUCUCUCCUGCCCUGUAGAUUCAGUCUGCCCCUCUGGGUUUCCAAUCAAAGUAAAUAUGACAUAAGAAACCACUUCUCCAAAGCUGUGUUCUGUAUUUGGAGACCAUUAAAUCAGACUCCCUUUACUUCUCCUCAAUAUUUCUAGUGUGGCCCUGGCAAGGAACCCAACAUAGAGAAGACUUCAUGUAAUGACUGCCUCCCGGGCUUCUAUUCCACUGUCUGCACCAUCCAGUGUCUGGAGUGUCCUGCAGGUUAAACCUGAAAUGACAGCAGAAUUUAAACAAAUCUGAUUUAAAGGUAACAAAAGGAUUAAAGCUGUACUGUGUGUCUGCCAUAGGGA
rnacentral:lncRNA from 1 species